UCCAGCAGCAGCGUCAUUAAUGCAGUGACAACAACUCUAGGCGGACCCCAGAAGCAUGAACUGUUCUGCAAAGAUACACAUUUCAUCAAAAUCAAUGAACAUGUAUGAAUCCUGUCUUAGAAGAGACAAAAGCCAUGGCAAGGGAGUUUCCCAGCUCUGCUCCCUCUCCUGGGAGGGACAAGGAAAGCAGAAGGUGAGGAAUGUGUAUCCACAGGGGCUGCUAUUCUCCUCUGAGGCUCAGUG